rnacentral:piRNA from 1 species
UGAGCAAGGAACAAGGAGCUAGG